GUGAGGCUAAAGGUGAAAGUAAUGGGAUAAUCCAUUCUGGAAAAGAAAAGUUAUGACAUCACAGCAUCUCGGCUGAGACAUGGCUACUUCUUACUGCUCUGGGCUGCUCUCAGUUAGGGAUCAGUACAAAUGUUCAGUUUGUCAAAAUGAGGAAGAAAAAGGCUGCUCUCAAGCUCUGACUGCAGGAGCUUCCAGCAGUAACUCUGACCCCUAUCAGUCAUGAAGUGUAACUUCAUUUCCUAAGAAAUGUAGGAAAUGUGAAACCUCAGAGCGCCACAGACUCCCCUACCUUCAUUUUCCUCGAAGAUGUCAGCUAAAGAGCACUGAGGUGGAUAUCAGACACCGGCAUGGAAGCACACUCCCACAAUCUCAGUGCUCAGGGCCGGAAGAUUACAACCUGAAGGCUAGCCAGGAUUACAGAGUAAAACCAUCACUAAAUCUAAAAGACACAUCUCAGAAGUUGCAGGGUCUCACCUCCAUGCCGCUGUCACCAUCCUUGGAUUGCUGGAAAGCUUCCAUUGUCUCCCGGCACUCUCUGAGAUCGCUCUGCAGCUGAGACACCAGAUGUCGCUUCACGGAGUUGCUAGUCAGCAAGCGCUGGACUUGCGUUUUCAGCUUCAGGAUAAGCUCAUCCUUCGAAGGGUCUUCAUCUGGGGACUCCUGCUGUGUGACCCUGAUGGGGAAACUGCCCGUUUAGCAUAAAAGCAAGAAACAAAUCAAAGACCCAUAAAGCCCUAGCCACAUGUGGUCAUGGUUUCUAUCCCUUACAGUCACAGCAUUUUGAACUUUCUUUCUGAACAUUUUGUUUCUUUGUUUCCUAUGCUUCAUACACGCUAGGCAAGCAUUCUAAC
rnacentral:lncRNA from 1 species